rnacentral:tRNA from 1 species
UCUCCUGUAGCUCAGUGGUAGAGCGUCCGACCGGUGUUGCGGAAGGUCAUAUAGGUUCGACUCCUGUUGGGGGAA